GUUGUUUUAGUGUAAUUUAACAUAAAGUGUUUUCAUCACUUAGAUAGACUAGUCUUGACAAUU
rnacentral:tRNA from 1 species